UACGGGGGGAGCAAGCGUUGUUCGGAUUUACUGGGCGUAAAGGGCGCGUAGGCGGCCACCGCAAGUCGACUGUGAAAUCUCCGGGCUUAACUCGGAAAGGUCAGCCGAUACUGCGGGGCUAGAGUGCAGAAGGGGCAACUGGAAUUCUCGGUGUAGCGGUGAAAUGCGUAGAUAUCGAGAGGAACACCUGCGGCGAAGGCGGGUUGCUGGGCUGACACUGACGCUGAUGCGCGAAAGCCAGGGGAGCAAACGGG
rnacentral:rRNA from 1 species